rnacentral:misc_RNA from 1 species
AGAAAAUUGUAAACAACUAGAAAAAUGACAACGUAUACAGACGGAGGAUCUGAUGGAAACGACUUCUUUUUAGAGAAAAAUGAUCCUUUUGCUGAAGAAUGCUGCUUGGAUGAUAUUGGAAACUUUUUGUUUACUUCAGAAUCCGUGGGAGAGGGGCAUCCAGACAAAAUUUGUGACCAAGUAAGUGAUGCCAUAUUGGACGCCCACCUGCAGCAAGAUCCAAACGCUAAAGUGGCAUGUGAGACUGCGACAAAAACUGGAAUGAUACUGGUGUUUGGAGAAAUAACAUCAAAAGCUGUUGUAGACUAUCAGGAUGUCAUACGUAGCACCAUAAAGCAGAUCGGAUAUGAUGAUUCCAGCAAAGGAUUUGACUACAAUACAUGUAAUGUACUGGUUGCUCUGGAACAGCAAAGUCCUGACAUUGCACAGGGUGUGCACGUUGACAGAGACGAGGACGAUAUUGGAGCCGGUGACCAGGUGCGUUACAUGACAUUUAAACCAAUUACAGUACGAUUUGGAUUAUUUGCAAAACAAGAACUUGUUAACAAUAAUUCAGUGCAAAUUUAAAAUGUGACCUAUCCCAUACGAACAAACCUGAUCUUUAUUAAAUGUUUUAGAGAAAUAUGAAAGUUAUCUUCCAUUGAUAUUGGAUAUGAAUUUGAGAUAUAUUUAACUGAAAUUUACGGGUUUCUUCAUUAGGGACUUAUGUUUGGAUAUGCUACAGAUGAGACAGAAGAAUGUAUGCCUUUGACUCUUGUCUUGGCACAUCAACUGAAUGCAAAAAUUGCAGAACUUAGGAGAUCAGAAGAAUUAAAAUGGGUCAGGCCAGAUACAAAGACACAAGUUACAAUGGAGUACAAGUAUGACAGGGGAGCGUGCAUCCCUCUCCGAGUUCGUUCACUUGUAAUAUCUGCUCAGCACGACAAAAAUGUGACCCUUGAACAAUUGAGACAGGACUUAAUGGAAAAGGUGGUAAAGGUUGUUAUUCCAGAAAAAUACUUAGACAAUGAAACAGAAUACCAUAUUCAACCUUCGGGGAAAUUCAUCAUUGGUGGACCUCAGGGUGAUGCAGGCCUGACUGGUAGGAAGAUCAUUGUUGACACGUAUGGAGGGUGGGGUGCCCAUGGAGGCGGGGCUUUUUCAGGAAAGGAUUUCUCUAAAGUUGACCGUUCUGCUGGAUAUGCUGCCAGAUGGGUGGCCAAGUCUCUUGUCAAAGCUGGUCUGUGCAAACGUGUGUUGGUUCAGUUAUCCUAUGCGAUUGGGAUAUCCAAACCAAUUUCCGUCACGGUGUUCAGCUAUAAUACAUCAAAAUUUUCAGGGAAACAACUCCUAGAAAUUAUUGACAGAAACUUUGAUUUAAGACCUGGAAAGCUUGUCAAAGAUCUAAACUUAAGAGCACCAAUAUACCAAAAGACAGCUUGCUAUGGACAUUUUGGGCGUCCAGGUUUCCCUUGGGAAGUCCCCAAAAACCUUAUAUUUUGAAUUGAAGGUGGUAUAUGCAUAGCUUAUACUGAUUGAUACCGAUAAUGUGUUUGGACAAAAUUUUUAAAAUUAAAAUGAUCAGACAAUAAUUAAAGUUAUUUUGAAUCACGGGUAAAAAAAAUCAGGAAAAUCCGGAUCCUGACUACCUAAUGAAAUAUUCUAAUAUGGUGAAGACGUAGAUCUUAUCUAAUUUUGACAAUAUAAAUUAAGAUUAUCUCAAAGGAUGUAGAUGAAUUUGUUUAUAGUUUACAAAUAAUGAUAACUAUGGUAUAUUCUUUAUUGCCUAAUCAAUAUAAAAAUUGAUAUUUAUGAUUAUGACAUCUAUAAGUGGUUAACUUUAAUGCAGCAAUAUAGUUAUUGACAGUAUUAUUACAGUGGAUUCUCAUUUGUGUUUUGUAGGUUUUGGUGAAUGGUUUGUAUUCCUUACUUUGUCUCACAUCAUCUGUCUAUUCCAUACAGUACUGCAUUGGAUACACCUGUCUGUUAUCACAGAUAAAGACAUUUCCAUCAAUUGUCUUAACUGCCGUACAAUUUUCACGUCCCUGUGUAUCGUCUUCAUUUUUCUAGUGAAUGAUGAUAUGAUUUUCAAAUCCUUUACCGACCUUCCCGGUUAUACUUUAUGGCCCCGCUGUCACCAACUUUCCUCAAGUCAAUGCUCAGCCUAAAUUCUGAGUUUUUACCUUUGAAAAAAUUUGAUAACAGUGAAGCCAGAUCAAAAAAUCACCGGACACAUUUGAAGAUGUUAUUUUUUUUCAAGUCACCGUUAAGCAAUUGUUGAUUAAAGUCAUGAUAUUCAUGUUAAACCAUACCUUUUAUCAAUCAAGAUUAUAAAAGCUGUGUUUGUUGUGUAUUUUGGUUCUUGAGGAUUUGAGCAACCUCCAAUAUUGUAAGAAUAAAUUGAGAAACUUUU